UAGUGUUACAGCUCUUUUAGAAUUUGUCUAGAAGAUUCUUCCAU
rnacentral:snRNA from 1 species